ensembl:lncRNA
AAACAGUUGACCAAGUCAACUCAUUCUUGGUAAAUAAGUUGACUCUUCACGCAUUCGUAGCACACAUGCAUGUAUGUGUGCUAUGUCACUUCAGUCGUGUCCAACUCUUUGUGACCUUAUAGACUGUAGCCCAUCAGGCUCCUCUGUUCAUGGGGAUUCUCCAGGCUAGAAUACUGGAUUGAGUUGCCUUCCCCAUAUCUUCCCGACCUAGGGAUCAAACCUGAGUCUGUAAUGUCUCCUGCAUUGGCAGGCAGGUUCCUUACCACUCGCACCAUCUGGGAAGCCCUGACCAUAUAUAUGUAGAAAACUAUCGUGUUGGAUGAAGCAAGAAGGUGCAAGCUGUAAUACUGUCAUGAAAGCCAAAGGUUGAGGAAGAAGUUGCCAUUCCUCCUUCCUGUUUACCACUCCAAGAUAUAUUUCCUGAAUCCUUUUUGGAGUUAUUGAUGACCAUUCCUUCACCAGCCUCCUGGACAGAUGAUCCUCUAGUGUCAAGACUGACCUCUGAAGGGUUGGGAAGCUGCCCUCCUCAGGAGCUCAGAUAGUAAGUUGUUCUUUGUGCUGAUCUGAAAUCUGAACUCUCCAGUAACUUUUGCCUGCUGGUUUCUGUGUCAUCUCUGGAUAACAGGACAUUUAACCUCAAAGUCUUCUGUAUACUGAAGACUACUGUAAAAAGUAC